UCGGGUAUGGUGUAGCGGUAACAUCGCUGACUCUCAAAUGCAAAUGCGAGUGUCUCAGCAGCCCGGGGUUCGACUCCCCGUAUCCGAG